rnacentral:misc_RNA from 1 species
UCUCGGUUUACACCGGCAGUUUCGCUAGAGUUCCCGGCUUUACCCGCUGGCAACUAACGAUAAGGGUUGCGCUCGUUAUGGGACUUAACCCGACACCUCACGGCACGAGCUGACGACAACCAUGCAGCACCUUGUAAAGAGUUCCGAAGAAAAUCCCGAUUUCUCGGGAAUGCACUCUACAUUUAAGCCCAGGUAAGGUUCCUCGCGUAUCAUCGAAUUAAACCACAUGUUCCUCCGCUUGUGCGGGCCCCCGUCAAUUCCUUUGAGUUUCAGCCUUGCGGCCGUACUCCCCAGGUGGAUCACUUAAUGCUUUUGCUUUGCCGCUGAUCGGUGUAUCGCCAACAGCUAGUGAUCAUCGUUUACGGCGUGGACUAC